UGAGGAUGCAUUAUCCCACAUCCAACAGUGGUGACCCAUUUCAAAUGUGCAAUUCGAUCGUCCAAAUUGAUUUAAAUCAAGAUCGGAUGGCUCUGGUUGGUUGUUGGCUGAAAACUAAAUGAAGAAGAAAAUCUGAUGCACCAUCCAACGGUUGAAAAUCGACCCAUCACCUAAUCCGAUGGCUGACGGCAUUUUUGACUGUGAAUAG
rnacentral:lncRNA from 1 species